rnacentral:rRNA from 1 species
UGAGGAAUAUUGGUCAAUGGGCGAGAGCCUGAACCAGCCAAGUAGCGUGCAGGAUGACGGCCCUAUGGGUUGUAAACUGCUUUUAUGUGGGGAUAAAGUGCGUGACGUGUCAUGCAUUGCAGGUACCACGUGAAUAAGGACCGGCUAAUUCCGUGCCAGCAGCCGCGGUAAUACGGAAGGUCCGGGCGUUAUCCGGAUUUAUUGGGUUUAAAGGGAGCGUAGGCUGUCUAUUAAGCGUGUUGUGAAAUAUACCGGCUCAACCGGUGGCUUGCAGCGCGAACUGGUCGACUUGAGUAUGCAGGAAGUAGGCGGAAUUCAUGGUGUAGCGGUGAAAUGCUUAGAUAUCAUGACGAACUCCGAUUGCGCAGGCAGCUUACUGUAGCAUAACUGACGCUGAUGCUCGAAAGUGCGGGUAUCAAACAGG